UGGUACCACAGGGAUCUGGCAUAUCCCAGACACAGACGCUGGUGAACCUGGACCACUGUAUUCAUGGCAGCUGGAGAUGGGAAGCUGCUCUUACAGGACUCGUCCUGGGCUUUCUCUUCCUCAAGUCCUGAGUCUGCUGGACCCUCCAGACUUGCUUGGGACAUGAUGUCUGCAAAGUCCUGAUGAGUGGCUGAAGAGAUGGUUGGCCAUGUCUAAAUGUAGGUCUUUGGUCUAAAUGAAAACAACCAAGUCUUUUACUGUAUCUGAUGUUUCCGGAUUGAUAUUCCUGCUGCAUUUUAUUUAUGAGCUAUUUAGCCCAGCUCCAGCCAUGGUCAUUCCAAAAUGUAAACUUCCAGCAGGGACCUGAGGAGGAAAUUUCCAUCCAUAGAAUCUGAAAUUUUGAUGAGGGAUACUUUCUACAAAUACAUUUUUAGCCCCACCACUGUCCAUCAUCAGUAUGUCUUUCUAGAUGUGAGUUGUUUAACACAUCUAGAUGUAAGUACCAGGAAAUAAAAGCUGAAAUUCUGAA